UUUGUGUCUCUCACUCGGGUUUUUCCACAGUUGGGAGAUGACAGUGUAAGGGAGAGGUGGAUGGGAUUUCCUCGUCUCUCUGGUUCUUGACGUACUUCUGCAGAGCGUUUCAGAGUCAGAAUGUGGCUGACCCCUAUCACUUUUGAACUUUCUAGUUUCUAUCUGGUGGGUGAGGCUGGAAGCUGGAGUGGGCAACUGUAUUUGCUGAGAUAUCUUUCCCUACAGCUAUCUGGAAGAACAAGGGAAGUUCUGAUGCAGUUAGAGCAGGCGGCUCAGGAGGGCAGGGAAAAACACAGAAUUCUCCUGGCUGAGGUCUUCAGGAGGAGCUGAGCAGCUGAGUGACCUUGUGGCUGCUGGAAGAGGAUGCCUGAAGGGCUCAAGAGAAGGAGCAAGAGGGGCCAGGUGGAUCUGGACAACCAGAGCAAUUGUGUUGGCCACGUGGAAGAAGACAGUGGAAAGGAAAAGAUUAAAGAGGUAAGAAAAGAGGAGAUGACUGAUGCCGCAGGGUCUGGGAGGAGAUGAGAAGGUGGGAGGGAAAGGCCUGGGACAAAGGACCACUUUGUAACAAGGUCCUCUGGGUUUUCUUGGAUGGGCUCCAGGCAAGAGUCUCCUUUUACUAAAACAAACAGCAUGGCGGCACCAUCGCAGCCCUGGGAAUCUCGAAUCCAGAGGUGUCUGCUUUUUCCCAAGACUAACCUCUCCUCUUUCAAGCAUUCAGAAAGGACCAAAGGUUAAAUGAGAGUUUCAGUAUUCUAAUUUUCCAACAAAUUUAUUUCCUCCCUGGGUUAGCCAAAUCAUGGAGUCCUUUUCCUCACCUGGGCUCCUAAAUUUAAUUAGCCAACUUCCUCCUUCCCCUCCGAGAGUCAGAACAGAGGCCUCAUUUCUCUUCUCCCCUUCCUAGCUUUUGCUUAUCUAAACUAAGGGCCCCCCGGGAGCUUUCAGCUGAUUUAUUUCAGCUGGUCCCUCCGCCACGUUGACUCUGGGUUAACCUCUUCGGCCCCUCCGGGACCAUUUUUAGGCAGGCUCGCUAGGUAUUCUGACCUACUAAUAGAUCCCCAGAGGGGAAGUCCACACUGUCACGGUAGAUCUUACUACCUAACACCUAGUGAAAUCCUAGGCUUUGCUGAGCUCAGCCAAGACACUGCAGGAAACACGUGGCCCAGAGUUCCCAGAGAGAUUGUCUAGAUCUUGAAG
ensembl:lncRNA